GGUUGAAAGGUGAGCAUCAAGCAAUACUUCACAGCAAGACAAAAAUACCAUUCCAGCUAAAGAGACUCCGCAAAGCAAAACAUCAGAGAGACAAGUCAGAAAAAGGACCAGGUUUUCAGCACCACAGAAGUUUCGGGCUGUCCAGGAAUGACUGCUUGGUCAAUGUAUUGUUUCCAAGAAUGAUGCGGAUGAGGACGUAUGAGGAAGCUGUUUCUGGGAAUGGGAUGCAUGAAGAGAGAUGCAGAAACUCCGGAGGAGCAGAGGAUAAAGAGGGAAAGAGGCAGAAUGCCUUGAAGAGAAUUGCAGACUUCACACCCAGCCUGGUAAAUGAGGACACAUACCUCCCCUCAGCAGAGCUCACCAGUGGAUUUGCUUAAGAAGACCACGUGCUGAGGAGCAUUCAAGCCUUAACUCCAGCAGCACGUUGAGAUGGGAAGGCAUGCAGAGGUGACAGCACGUGACAGUGUGCUUCCACAGAGAUGCAGAUGCUCUGGAGAGGAGAAAUUCCCAGCUGGGGCAGGAAGAUGUGUCCGAGCUUGCCAAGAACCGAGGCGAGAGGCAGAAACAAUGGAGAAAGGAUGGAGCAUCAGCUGAGGAGGCCAAAAUGGUUGUUUAUAAAGCAUGGCUAUUCUUUAAGACAAGGACUUGACUGGAUUCUGGGAACUGAAGUUGUCCCUAACCCCCAACACUGGUUGACCAUCUCCUGCAGCCAGAGGAAACAGCAUCAAGUUUGCAGCCUCUCAUACUGCUCCAGGAAAGAAGUAGGCAAUCCUAAAGGACGACAUCUUCCAAAAGAUUUAGUGCCUGAUUCCAGAUCUCAGUAUUCACACUCCUGCUUCAGCUGCUGCUUAGUGCUGGAAACCUCAGUUUCCAAGUGUAACCCAUCUGCCAGAACUCAACUGGCAGCAACAAGGGCUGCACUCAAGCUUAACGCUGUGAGCCAGAAACAAGGAAAAGAUUUAUGAAAUUUUGUUGCCCUUG
rnacentral:lncRNA from 1 species